CUCAUUCUGCCUUGCCUGCCACCAUGUAAGAUGUCCCUUGCUCUUCCACCAUGAUUGUGAGGCCUCUCCAGCCAUGUGAAACUGUGAGUCCAUUAAACUUCUUUCCUUUAUAAAUUACUAAGUCUUGGGUAUAUUUUUAUUAGCAGCAUGAAAACAGACUAAUACACACCCCUUCUCCAAAACCACAUCCACCCUCCAAACUGCAUGUGUUUGUCAAGGUAAAUGGUGUGUGUGUGUAUGUAUGUGUGUAUAUAUAUAUAUAUACAUAUACGUAUAUAUAUAUAUACGUAUAUAUAUAUAUAUAUAUAUAUACCUACAUGCAUAUAUAUAUAUACAUAUAUAUUUAUUGACUGAGAAUUUAAGGUGUCUCAAACUAUGGCAGAAUUUUAAUAAAGUUUAUUAUUUAUUUUGUAAUGAAUUAAUUACAAAAUUAUAUAGCAGGUCCUGGAAUAACAUCAUUUUAUUUCAAAGUCAUUUUGUUAUAAUGUUGAAGAGAAAAAAAAAUGAAUUCCCCCUGGUGGGGCCACCAUCUGUGUGAACUUUGCACAUUCUCUCUAGGUCUGUGUAGGUUUUUUCUGGCUACUCCUGUUUCCUCCCACAUCCCAAAGGUGUGCCUAUGAGGUGAACUGCCAUGUCUACACAUCCCAGUAUGAGUGAGUGCAGGUGGUGUGCACGCGCCCUGCGAUGGGAGUGUGUCCUAUUCAGGGCUGGUUCCCGCCUUGCGCCCUAAGCUUUGGAGAUAGGCUUCGGCCACCCUCAACCCUGAACUGGAAUAAGCAGAAAACCACAUCUGGUCAGGAGCCCAGUGUGUCCCACUUGGACAAGAAUAGAAAUCUCUCUUCUGGAAUAUGGUAAACACAGAUUUUGUUUCCAAGUUAACACAUAAUGUAGUUCUAUCAUGUUUACAGACAGUA
rnacentral:lncRNA from 1 species